ensembl:miRNA
CAGUUGUCCAAAAGGUUCGUUCGGGUUUUCCUGUAUGAUGUUAUGGGAAAACCCAAACAAAUCUUUUGGCCAACCC